UACGGGGGGGGGCAAGCGUUGUUCGGAAUUACUGGGCGUAAAGGGCUCGUAGGCGGCCAACUAAGUCAGACGUGAAAUCCCCUCGGCUUAACCGGGGAACUGCGUCUGAUACUGGAUGGCUUGAAUCCGGGAGAGGGAUGCGGAAUUCCAGGUGUAGCGGUGAAAUGCGUAGAUAUCUGGAGGAACACCGGUGGCGAAGGCGGCAUCCUGGACCGGCAUUGACGCUGAGGAGCGAAAGCCAGGGGAGCAAACGGG
rnacentral:rRNA from 1 species